GAUGAACGCUGGCGGCGUGCUUAACACAUGCAAGUCGAACGGAAAGGCCCAAGCUUGCUUGGGUACUCGAGUGGCGAACGGGUGAGUAACACGUGGGUGAUCUGCCCUGCACUUCGGGAUAAGCCUGGGAAACUGGGUCUAAUACCGGAUAGGACGAUGGUUUGGAUGCCAUUGUGGAAAGUUUUUUCGGUGUGGGAUGAGCUCGCGGCCUAUCAGCUUGUUGGUGGGGUAAUGGCCUACCAAGGCGUCGACGUGUAGCCGGCCUGAGAGGGUGUACGGCCACAUUGGGACUGAGAUACGGCCCAGACUCCUACGGGAGGCAGCAGUGGGGAAUAUUGCACAAUGGGCGCAAGCCUGAUGCAGCGACGCCGCGUGGGGGAUGACGGCCUUCGGGUUGUAAACUCCUUUCGCUAGGGACGAAGCGUUUUUGUGACGGUACCUGGAGAAGAAGCACCGGCUAACUACGUG
rnacentral:rRNA from 1 species